CUCCAGAACUCUUCAAAGUGUUUUCUCUGCUUUCUUGUUUAGUUUGUGGAAUGAAGAAGUGUUGGCUGAAACUUUCUGGCUGAGCGCUGACAUCGAUCACAUCAGCAUGCUCGCUUUCUGCAGUAUAUAGUAUGUAUACUGUGCACGAACUUAGCAACCACUCAGAACACCAUAGCAACACCUCAGCAACCAUCCACAACAUCCCAGAGGUGUGGUACAGCUGCAUAACUUUUGCACAGUAUCACUUUAUAAACCCCAAGGUACACCACGUGACCUCCUUGCCCUUAAGAAUAACCUGCUGACCCUGCUGUUAGCGAGGCGAAAUUUGACAUCCUCCCGGUCUUCUGUUCCUGUGAGCCUCUCUCUGCCAACAAACCCAUGUGGGUAAACAACACCUCGGCCUUUUGCGCUCCACGCCUGCUGACCUCAGCUGCAUUUUUUCUGCUGUGGUCGGUGACCUGCACGGCAGAUCCUGCUCAAAUUAACGCUGCUUCAAGACAUCCGCCCCCAUGAUGGGCGCAGUUUGGCACCAUCCUGCGAGCCCUGUUUAGUUUGCACUGGCCAGUGGCUGGUGGUCAAAAUUAUUAAUCGUGGAGCCAUCCAGAAACA